AUUGAACGCUGGCGGCAGGCCUAACACAUGCAAGUCGAACGAGUGGCGGACGGGUGAGUAAUGUCUGGGAAACUGCCUGAUGGAGGGGGAUAACUACUGGAAACGGUAGCUAAUACCGCAUACCAUCGGAUGUGCCCAGAUGGGAUUGGCUAGUAGGUGGGGUAAAGGCUCACCUAGGCGACGAUCCCUAGCUGGUCGGAGAGGAUGACCAGCCACACUGGAACUGCGACAGGGUCACGACUCCUACGGGAGGCAGCAGUGGGGAAUAUUGCACAAUGGGGGCAAGCCUUAUGCAGCCAUGCCGCGUGUAUGAAGAAGGCCUUCGGGUUGUAAAGUACUUUCAGCGGGGAGGCGUUACCCGCAGAAGAAGCACCGGCUAACUCCGUGCCAGCCGCCGCGGUAAUUC
rnacentral:rRNA from 1 species